GACGAACGCUGGCGGCGUGCUUAACACAUGCAAGUCGAACGGAAAGGCUCCAGCUUGCUGGAGUACUCGAGUGGCGAACGGGUGAGUAACACGUGGGUAAUCUGCCCUGCACUCUGGGAUAAGCCUGGGAAACUGGGUCUAAUACUGGAUAUGACCUUUCUCCUUAUGGGGUUUGGUGGAAAGUUUUUCGGUGUAGGAUGAGCCCGCGGCCUAUCAGCUUGUUGGUGGGGUGAUGGCCUACCAAGGCGACGCCGGGUAGCCGGCCUGAGAGGGUGAUCGGCCACAUUGGGACUGAGAUACGGCCCAGACUCCUACGGGAGGCAGCAGUGGGGAAUAUUGCACAAUGGGCGGAAGCCUGAUGCAGCGACGCCGCGUGAGGGAUGACGGCCUUCGGGUUGUAAACCUCUUUCAGCAGGGACGAAGCGUAAGUGACGGUACCUGCAGAAGAAGCACCGGCUAACUAUGUG
rnacentral:rRNA from 1 species